ACCUACUACCAUACCGCGUUCAAAGGAACUUUAAAUAUUUCGUCUUGCUCAUUCACCCUCUGAGUGGCACACAUACACAAUACAUAUCUCAAUUGUCUCAAGGCUUAAAAAUCAUUAUUUAACCUGUCCUUAAUCUACACUGAUUCAAGUGGAUUUAACAGUUGACAUCAAGAAGGGAUCAUAUAUUUCACCUGGAUUCACCUGGUCAGUCUAUUUCAUGGAAAGAACAAGUGUUCCUAACCUUUUGUACACUCAGUGUAUAUUGUUAUUUUUCGGGUGUGGUUUUCAUAUAAGCCCUCUUGGGUUUCAAAGCUCACCUGCACACCUUUUAACUUUGGUUUUGUCUGCACUGUUUUUCAUUCACUUUACAAAUAACUAUAAAGAUAAAACCGAUGUUCAGAAUAGCUUUAUCUGACAAAUAUGCUAAGCCAAUUAAACCUGAUUUUAGGAGAUGUUUUCAUGUGCAAUUUGAAAUUACACAUGGGGUAAAAUUCUGACAUGCAGCUGCCUGUACACUUCAUGUAUAUUACAGUGUCUGAGAAUGUCACUGUCUAUGCCAUAUCAUAUCAAGAUCAGAUAGAGGUAAGAAUAGACCGACUUGGAUACCAGGAGCACAGACACGUACUGAAGAAGUGAUAAGAGAGGAAUAUACAGUAUGUCUAGAUAGAAGCUCAUGGGAUGGUGGAAUCACACAAACAGAUAUUUAAUGUUGACUGGAUCCUUGUGCUUUUCUCAGUCUAUUCUUGUGCAAUUUCAUAUAUUAAGCUUGGCUUUGAAAGAGCUCCGACUCCCAUGAAUCAUAAGUCUUGCUAUUUCACUGUGGAUCCCAUGACUUAUCAGUCUGAAUGAUCUGUGAGUGCAACACAAACUCUCUCUUACCCUUUCCUCUUCUUCCUAUCCUUGUCCACUUCCACUUCUUUUGACAGGUGAUGGAGACACCAAUGACGGAUCUACAAAGCGGGAGGGAAGUUGAGUCUAGAGAGGACUUGCACUCUGAAGAGGAGUAUAUGUAGGAGGCACAUUCUGUGGAGAGCAGCCUAACGGCAGCAGUAACCCACUCUGAGAGAAGCAUGUACAGUGCCGGAUAUAUGGUUCAAGCACGCAUAACUGAGGUGGAACAUACUUUUGUCCUGCUGGAGGGUAGCAUAGACAGUAUGAGGCUGCUCUUUGAGGAGUGCAUAGAGGUGGGCCGCUUGGAAAGUCGGAGGAAUUAAUUGGUAUGGGAGCGAUUGCACCUGGAGCAGCCUAUGCUGCAGGCUACGAGAGGUCAGUUGUUAGAGGCACAUAGAGUCCUUAUCAGCAUCCAGUUGGAGUACAUUAAUCUGCAGAUAGAGGUGGGACAGGUGAAGAGUAAGCCAUUUGUCACAGCCAGACUGUAUUCAGAGCCAGCUAACACAGACUGCACAACAGUAUGAUGGCCCAGUAGUCACACAGGAGGAGCUCCAGGCCCAUGUCUAGUCUCAGAGGUAUCCCAGCACAACCAGCUAAACACCCUGAAGGAUCGGGCCAGAUGACCAUCCCGUCACAGGGCAGUGAAUGACUUCACUCACUGCCAACAAGCCUCACUGUGCCUUCAGCGGUAGCAUGAUGAAUGUAGAAGGCUGGUAUGAACCGUGCCUGCUAGCCCUGCUCUGGAGGCAGGGAAGGAUACCGAGCCAGUAACGGCGUGGUGUAACUGUUCUAAUUUCCCAUCAGGAGACUGUGGACUCAGUUGAAGAGACCAUGAGGAAGCUGAAGCUUCAUUUUUUUUUGUUGUUGAAAAAGCCAAAACAGACAAUUGGAAGAAUUAAAGGGACUUGAGGGGAAGGAUGUGGUAUGCUACUGGCCAUGAGAUGCAGAGAACUAGCAGAUGAUCCUUUUGACCCUUAGGAAUGAAGGUUUAGCAAAUUAAUAUUAAGCCUGUACUACUUACAAUUGCCUGACAUGUACAAUUAACAUUCCUGGAGUCUCAAUGUGAUUUUAUUACAUGGGCUGUAUUGAAGCAAGCAAGACAUUUGCUGAAGGGGAAUCAUAACUUCUACAUGGAAGUACAGGGUAGUUGACAAAACACCUGGAAUAUCCACAACCCCUCCAGACCGAACAUGUAUUGUUUUCAAGUGUCCUUGAUUGUGCAUUUAGCCAAUGAUGUCAGUGAUUGCUUUACUUAAACUGCUCUUAAUACAUUAACAAUGACAUUAUGAUAGUUGGCCUUGGCUGUGAGAUCAGCAUGUCUUAACUGUAAACUGCACUGUGCAUGGAAGGUCUACUGUAAAAACAAUGUUUAUUAUGAAUACACAUACACAGCAAAAAGAAAUCCGAUGCAGAUGUGGCAUACAAAGCAAUAGACAGGGAUACUAGUCAUACAAAGGUAAUUGGGGAAAUCUACAAUACAGCUGUCAAGGGAAUGAAAAUCUAUGUAAUUUCUCAUGAAAUUAAACUGUAUAAAUGUUACUAACACAAUGAGCAUAAUUUAAGAUGUUUCCCCGCUACAUUUAUUUGUUUCCCCUUACAAAAAUGCAAAACAACCACUCUUAUGCACCAUGUCUUUUUUCAAAGACAUUUAAACAUUGUGUCCUAUUG